rnacentral:rRNA from 1 species
UACGGAGGAUCCAAGCGUUAUCCGGAAUCAUUGGGUUUAAAGGGUCCGUAGGCGGGCCUGUAAGUCAGUGGUGAAAUCCGGCGGCUUAACCGUCGAACUGCCAUUGAUACUGCAGGCCUUGAAUUAUUGGGAAGUAACUAGAAUAUAUAGUGUAGCGGUGAAAUGCUUAGAUAUUACAUGGAAUACCGAUUGCGAAGGCAGGUUACUAUCAAUACAUUGACGCUGAUGGACGAAAGCGUGGGGAGCGAACAGG